rnacentral:misc_RNA from 1 species
GAAAAUGGAAGAAGAAGAAGAAGAGAACAUGAGAAGAGAAAAGAGAUUCAAAUGCAUAAAAAUGGAUGAAGAUGAAGACGAAGAUGAAGAAGGAGAAAUUCUCGAUUACUAUGAUGAUGAUGAAGAUGAAGAUGAAGAAGAAUUUGAAAAUAUUGAAGUUACUUCACAACCAGUUGGAUUUUUCUAUCCUUUAACGACGCCGUCUUCAAUCGUUGUCUCUGAUGCAUUAGAUCCUGAUCUUCCGGUUAUAUAUGUGAACUCUGUGUUUGAAAGCUCUACUGGUUAUCGCGCUGACGAAGUACUCGGUCGUAACUGUCGGUUUUUGCAAUUUAGAGAUCCACGCGCUCAAAGGCGGCAUCCUUUGGUGGAUCCUGUUGUUGUUUCUGAGAUCAGAAGAUGUCUUGAAGAAGGUGUUGAUUUCCAAGGGGAGCUUCUCAACUUUAAAAAAGAUGGUACACCUGUGGUGAAUAGGCUAAGACUUGCACCCAUACAUAGUGAUGAUGGCACAGUGACCCAUAUUAUAGGGAUUCAAAUGUUUUCUGAAACAAAAAUUGACCUGAAUACUGUGUCAUAUCCCGUUUUCAGAGAAACUUGCCAGUCUCACUGUGACGAGUCCAGCGAAUACUCCAUUAAAAGCGGUAAUUUAUUGCAUUGUCAGCACCGUGAAAUAUGCGGUAUUCUUCAGCUCUCUGAUGAAGUUCUAGCUCACAACAUUUUAUCUCGAUUGACUCCAAGGGAUGUUGCAUCCAUUGGUUCUGUUUGUAGAAGGAUACGCCAAUUGACGAAAAAUGAGCAUGUGAGAAAAAUGGUCUGUCAAAAUGCAUGGGGAGCUGAUGUCACAGGUGUGCUGGAACAUAUGACAAAGAAGUUAGCUUGGGGGCGUCUAGCUAGGGAGCUAACCACUCUUGAAGCAGUUUGUUGGAAGAAACUGACAGUUAGAGGUGCUGUAGAACCUUCACGUUGCAACUUCAGUGCAUGUGCUGCAGGGAACAGGCUAGUGUUAUUUGGAGGGGAAGGUGUUAAUAUGCAGCCAAUGGAUGACACAUUUGUUCUCAAUCUUGAUGCUGCUAAUCCAGAAUGGCGACGUGUGAGUGUCAAAUCAUCUCCACCAGGACGUUGGGGCCAUACUCUCUCAUGUCUUAAUGGUUCCUGGUUGGUGGUGUUUGGUGGAUGUGGGAGACAGGGAUUGCUUAAUGACGUGUUUGUUCUUGAUUUAGAUGCUAAACAGCCUACAUGGAAAGAAGUAUCCGGUGGAGCUCCCCCCCUUCCUAGGUGUUGGCACAGCUCUUGCACGAUGGAAGGCUCAAAGUUGGUUGUUUCAGGUGGAUGCACAGGUGCGGGUGUACUUCUCAGUGACACAUAUUUGUUGGAUCUCACCAAUGACAAACCUACCUGGAGAGAAAUUCCAACUGCAUGGACUCCUCCAUCUAGAUUGGGACACUCACUCUCAGCUUAUGGGAAGACAAAAGUUCUAAUGUUUGGUGGCCUUGCCAACAGCGCUAACGUGCGUUUAAGAUCAGGUGAAUCAUACACUAUUGAUUUGGAGGACGAAAGGCCAGAAUGGAGGCAGCUUGAGUGUGGUGCGUUCACAGGAGUAGGAAGUCAAAAUGCUGUGGUUCCUCCUCCUAGACUUGAUCACGUUGCUGUAACCAUGCCUUGUGGUCGUAUCAUCAUUUUCGGAGGUUCAAUUGGCGGACUGCACUCUCCUUCACAACUCUUUCUACUCGAUCCUUCAGAGGAAAAACCAUUAUGGAGGACUCUCAGUGUACCUGGGCAACCUCCAAAGUUUGCUUGGGGUCAUAGCACAUGCGUGGUUGGAGGAACAAGGGUCUUUGUCCUAGGAGGCCAUACCGGGGAGGACUGGGUCCUGAACGAAUUGUAUGAAUUGUGCUUAGCGAGCAAGCAAGAUUCUGAUGCAUGAUCUGGUUAGUCUCGCAGAAUUCAUAUAUAUUUUCGAGUAUAACUUUGCAUUUUCUUCAAGAACGGUUCCACUUUGUAGACACUGGAAUACACCUUGCCAUAGAUUUGAGUAACCUUAUGCAGCUUGUGUAAAUAAGCUUUUGAUCUUGCUGUUUGUAGUCCAUUUCGUGGCCGUUGAAUAUGUUUAUGCCUUUCGCUUUGUAUCUUUAUAUAUUACUAUUCACUAAUUUCU